ensembl:lncRNA
AUUAGAUUAGGGCAGUCCUAACAGAGGCAGGGCCGCUAGCAAAUUGUGCAGCUUGAAGGGCAAAUGCCCUUCUGAAUUUAUCAACUUAUGGCUCCAGUGAGCUGCGAGGGAUGGUGAUGACCUUAAGAUACCCUCCUAAGGAUGCCUUUUACCAUCACUCCACGCUACAAAUGCUACACGCAGAGGCUCUCUACAGGGCCAUAGGCUUCGACUCUGAAGAAAUGAUGAUCCCGCUACUCAAGAUAAUCCAAAGACCUUGCUGUGAGCAGUUUCUCAUGCCAAAACAAUCUAGAUUACAGGACAGGAAAGCCCUCAAAGGCCUUUUGAGGAUAAUCCAGCAAAUGCCAUAGUGAGGUGUGAUAAAUGGCUAGUCAGCGUCCCACAGGAGAUUAUAAUAACUCCAGCCUUUGCUGUCCGUCCAAGCCUCGUGUCUCCACCUCGGCGACUAUUUUCUUUUUCGUGUUGUUACAGUCUCUCAGAGACAAUCGACCUUAAUACACAGACAUAUACCCUCCAC